rnacentral:rRNA from 1 species
GUUUCAGCAGCCGCGGUAACACGGGGGGAGCAAGCGUUGUUCGGAUUCAUUGGGCGUAAAGAGCUCGUAGGUGGCUCUGUAAGUAGGUGGUGAAAGCCCACGGCUCAACCGUGGAUACGCCUCCUAAACUGUGGAGCUUGAGGCUGGGAGAGGGAAUCGGAAUUCCUGGUGUAGCGGUGAAAUGCGUAGAUAUCAGGAGGAACACCGGUGGCGAAGGCGGAUUCCUGGACCAGUUCUGACACUGAGGAGCGAAAGCCAGGGGAGCAAACAGGAUUAGAUACCCUGGUAGUCC